rfam:Ictidomys tridecemlineatus contig063714, whole genome shotgun sequence.
GGGGUUGUAGCUCAGUGGCAGAGUGCUUGCCUCACAUGCAUGAGGCAUUGGGUUCCAUCCUCAGCACCUCA